AACGAACGCUGGCGGCAUGCCUAACACAUGCAAGUCGAACGAGACCUUCGGGUCUAGUGGCGCACGGGUGCGUAACGCGUGGGAACCUGCCCUUAGGUUCGGAAUAACUCCCCGAAAGGGGUGCUAAUACCGGAUAAUGUCUUCGGACCAAAGAUUUAUCGCCUUUGGAUGGGCCCGCGUUGUAUUAGCUAGUUGGUAGGGUAAAAGCCUACCAAGGCGACGAUCCAUAGCUGGUCUGAGAGGAUGAUCAGCCACACUGGGACUGAGACACGGCCCAGACUCCUACGGGAGGCAGCAGUGGGGGAUAUUGGACAAUGGGCGAAAGCCUGAUCCAGCAAUGCCGCGUGAGUGAUGAAGGCCUGAGGGUUGUAAAGCUCUUUUACCCGGGGUGAUAAUGACAGUACCGGGAGAAUAAGCUCCGGCUAACUCCGUG
rnacentral:rRNA from 1 species